rnacentral:snRNA from 1 species
AUACUUUCCUGGCAGGGGAGAUACCAUGAUCACAAAGGUUGUUUUCCCAGGGAGAGGUUUAUCCAUCGUACUCUGGAUGUGCUGACCCCUGUGAUUUCCCCAAAUGUGGGAAACUCAACUGCAAAGUUUGUGGUAGUGGGGAACUGCGUUCAUACUCUCCCCUA